rnacentral:rRNA from 1 species
GCGGUGGAGCAUGUGGUUAAUUCGACGCAACGCGAAGAACCUUACCAGGGCUUGACAUCCCCUGACCGCGUAUGAAAGUACGUUUUCACCUCGGGUGACAGGGAGACAGGUGGUGCAUGGUUGUCGUCAGCUCGUGUCGUGAGAUGUUGGGUUAAGUCCCGCAACGAGCGCAACCCCUACGUUUAGUUGCUAACGCGUGAAGGCGAGCACUCUAGACGAACUGCCGUUGACAAAACGGAGGAAGGUGGGAUGACGUCAAAUCAUCAUGCCCCUUAUGUUCUGGGCUACACACGUGCUACAAUGGCCGGUACAGACGGACGCAAAGCCGCGAGGUGGAGCAAAUCCUAAAAAGCCGGUCUCAGUUCGGAUUGCAGGCUGCAAUUCGCCUGCAUGAAGUCGGAAUCGCUAGUAAUCGCAGGUCAGCAUACUGCGGUGAAUACGUUCCCGGGCCUU